rnacentral:rRNA from 1 species
UACGUAGGGUGCAAGCGUUAAUCGGAAUUACUGGGCGUAAAGCGUGCGCAGGCGGUUCGCUAAGACAGAUGUGAAAUCCCCGGGCUUAACCUGGGAACUGCAUUUGUGACUGGCGGGCUAGAGUAUGGCAGAGGGGGGUAGAAUUCCACGUGUAGCAGUGAAAUGCGUAGAGAUGUGGAGGAAUACCGAUGGCGAAUGCAGCCCCCUGGGCCAAUACUGACGCUCAUGCACGAAAGCGUGGGGAGCAAACAGG